GUCGUUCUCAGUAUAUAUUUUAUAAUGCUUUAUGUUCGUUUUACAACGUUAUUGUAAUACGCUUUCAAAAUGCCGGCAAUGGAUGUGGACACCGCCCUGCAGACCAUUGGCUAUGGCUGUGGUCAGGUGAUAAUCUUCGCGGUGAGCUUCUUUAUUUACAUGUAUUCCGUUGCCGAGUCCAUGAGUGUGUCCUAUAUCGUGGUGCUGACUUCCUGCGAGUUCGCCACCACCAAAGAGGAGAAGACCCUUCUGGCCGACUCCCUGCUGGGUGGAAUGGUUGUCUCCGGGCUGUUCAUUGGAUUCCUGGCGGACAAGUACGGUCGGAAGUACAUUCUCCGCUUGGCGUUGAUAGGAGCACUGGGCUUCUCUUCAAUCUCCGCUUUAAUGCCGGAGCUCUAUUCGCUGUCUGUGCUUCGGAUGGUCGUGGGAGUCUUUCUCUCCGCCGUUGCUUCCUUACAGGUGGGCUUCCUCACCGAGUUCCAUUCACCCAACUGGCGACCAUUGGUGGUCACCCUUUGCGGCCAAUCGGUGAGCACGGCCCUGAUCUUCUGUCCCCUGAUGGCCAUGGCCAUCCUGCACGAGGACUUCAGCGUGACCAUUAGCAGCGACUACGACAUGCGCCCCUGGCGCUUCCUCAUGCUGGCCGUCCAGAUUCCCGGCUGGUUGGCUCUCCUCGGGAUCUGCUUGGUGCCGGACACUCCCUACUUCUACAUGUCCGUGGGCCGCGAUGAUAAGGCCAUCCUGGCCCUCCAAUGGGUGUGCCGGAUGAACCGGAAGAAGUGGGAGGACUUCGAUAUAUCAGGUCUGACUGAAGAGCGCCGCAAUUCAGUCGAGGAUGGGGGAUUUUUUAAGAAUAUGUGGUCCGAGAGCAUCCGGCUGUUCCAGAGGCCUUACGUAUACAUUGUUGUCAUGAGUCUGUUGCUCAUUUUUGGGCUAUUUUUCACCUCCAUUGGCCUGGGCAUCUGGUUUCCGGUUAUACGCAACAUGGACAACUCAGGCAAACACCGACUGUGCAACCUGGUUCGACAUAACCCACUAUUUCACAAGCAUAAAGUCCAUAUAAUCAAUGGCACAGAGGUUCCAGAACCGUACCACUGUGACGACGUGAUGACCAACCUGAUCGAUCCCAUUUACUACGGCCUCGCCUACUUCUUUUGUUACAUACUGUCCUCGCUUUUGCUGCAGUGCCUCAUCCGGAAGUACGUCAUUGCGCUGCACAUUGGAGUGGCUUUUAUCCUGGGCGUGACGCUUAAUUGGAUGAGGCAGCCGACUAUUGUGCUGAUCUGCUUCACCGGCAUGAUGGUCCUGCCGGGGGUCCUGAUCCCGCUGGCCUCCUCGGUCCUGAUCGACGCCCUACCAAUUCACCUGCGAGGAAAGGCUCUGUGCAUGGUGCGAUCCUUGGCGAGACUGGGAGCUGUUGGUGGAAGCACCUUGGUGGGACUGCUGAUAAGGGUCUCCUGCGAUGUCACCCUCAACGUAUUCAACUUCUAUCUGAUUGUUUGCUUCAUUUUGGCCAUGUUUUUACCGAAAUAAACCCAGGGUAGUCUUGUGUUGCAUAUUCUUAUCCAAAUUUGUAAGUGAUGCUAUAGAUAUGGUUUUGUGAACUGCCGCUGAAUGUUAUCGCUACCUCUCUGCGAAAUGGUUAUUGGAGCCUUCAAAAGACUGGAAUUAUAAUAGCUAAAGUCCGUUGAGCUCUUAAACUUUUACCAAGAGGGUCUUGAGUUCACUUGGUGACACAACUGUCAGAACUCAGCGUUACAUUAAAUAUCUACUUGUGGUCUGCUGAUAGAUCCACUGGAAGCAGCUUUGUAAUCUUGUGCACUUUUGAAUAUCUUUAAUAAAGGAAUUCACUAUGAA